GAUGAACGCUGGCGGCGUGCCUAAUACAUGCAAGUCGAGCGAACAGACGAGGAGCUUGCUCCUCUGACGUUAGCGGCGGACGGGUGAGUAACACGUGGAUAACCUACCUAUAAGACUGGGAUAACUUCGGGAAACCGGAGCUAAUACCGGAUAAUAUAUUGAACCGCAUGGUUCAAUAGUGAAAGACGGUUUUGCUGUCACUUAUAGAUGGAUCCGCGCCGCAUUAGCUAGUUGGUGAGGUAACGGCUUACCAAGGCAACGAUGCGUAGCCGACCUGAGAGGGGGAACCGCCACACUGGGACUGAGACACGGGCCCGACUCCUACGGGAGGCAGCAGUAGGGAAACUUCCGCUAUGGGCGGAAGGCUUACGGAGCCAAGGCGCGGGAGUGAAUGAAGUCUUCGGAUCGUAAAACUCUGUUAUUAGGGAAGAACAAAUGUGUAAGUAACUAUGCACGUCUUGACGGUACCUAAUCAGAAAGCCACGGCUAACUACGUG
rnacentral:rRNA from 1 species